AGUGUGGAGCCAAUGAGAAGCAGAUGACAAGAGGGGAUUACAUACAGAAGUUAUUUUGGGGGAGACAAAGUAUACUGGUGAAAGACACAUGGGAAAGGAACUGGCAUAGGAAGGGUGCUUCACAGCUCUGACCCCUGUGCAAGCAGAGGGUGGGGGAAGGGUGGGUAUGAAGAGCCCCAGACCACAGGCAGGUCAGAAAAAGCCUCAGCAGACUGAGUAGAUCUUCACAUGGGGGUGCCCAUUAGAGCAUCCCUGCUUCCUGUGGGAAGACCUGGCUGUGGCCACCCCUUGGAUCCUCAUUGCCUGGAUCCAGCCUAGGGGCAGGAGGACAUCAGUCACCUCUGCUUCUCCUGCAGGUUCUCCUGGAGGGGCAUCUGAUUGGGAAACUUCCAUGACCACCAUCACCAGCUGCUGUAUCCUCAACUGGGACAGGGGCUGUGCCCUUCUCCCCAGUGCCUGCUCUUCCACCUGGGACCCAUGUGAGGUGCCCAGGAAUGUCCCUUGCAAGGGCUCCUGUCUCAAGUUCUAGAAGUUGUCCUGGAACUUUGCCAGAGCUGAGUCUCUCAUAGGAGAACUGAGAAUAGGCACAGCAUCUCCCUAGCAGAUGGAGGAGGAUCACCCGAGGGCCCCGUACAUCCUCCCUGCGGGAGGCCUGGGACACACACCCACCUCUACACCUGCAGCUGCCACUUCAGUGCCCACAAUCUCAAUGCCUUGCCCUGGAAGGGGCUGAGCAUCCCCAUGGCCUGUUUUCCCUUGUAUGAAGAUCUGUUUCACUCUCGGUGAACUCCUAGUCACACUAAGCAGCCUGAGCAAGCGCCUCCUCCUCUGAGCUGUCCCUGUGGAGAGAGCCCGUCUGCACUCAGCUCAGGCACUGUGUGCCCAGUUUGCAGCAGAUCAAGCUUUCUCCCGGGGGUUUUGUAGCCUAUAAUAUCAGUGGACCUGAUAUUAUAAUGCCCACUUCCUAUGAUGGAAAGGAACUGAAUGAGUGUGGAAUCUCUAGGACCACGCUGGCAUAUAAUGGGCCCUUGGGGUUUAGUUUAGUAGCAAAUUAAAAGGUGCCCAUUCCUCAAAACCUUCUAUAGACAGCUUUCAGGAAACUGCCAUGGAUAAAUAUCUGCAAAUCAAAGCAAAACUUUAGGGACAAACUACAUCAGUCUUCACCCGUGAAUUUUGCAUCUGUGAUGCAAAUGACACCCCUCUAAGGUGUUACCCUUCUGCAGUGCACUACCUGUGCAACUGUCCUCAGCAAAGAGGGAGUAAUCUGUAGUAACUGAGUGGUGGCUGCCCCCUUUACAGAGGCAUAAGUUCUCAACUUGCCACAGUCUGCACCAUUCCGCUUUGUGCUGUGCCUGGUCCAUUUUACUCACUGAUAUUACCCAACCUCUGAAGGUGUUUAAGUUUGACCAUUGACCUCUCAUUUCACAGUGAACCUCAGAGAGGUGAAAGGAUUCACCCAAGAUCACUCAGCAAGUGUGCAGUGUCAGCAAGUUAGCAGUAAGUCAACACUAGGCCUUAAGGCUCUUGUCAUUUCAGAGCAGGACUCUUACUGCCAUGCAGCUACCUCUCUCACCAGAUGGUCCAAGGCAUUUGGUUGUCUCUGGCUUUGGUGGUUGUGGGAGGGGUGGAUCAGAGAUGCCCUGGGCCAUGUUAUGGCUCUAGGCCACACGCAAGCAAGCUGGAAACUGAAUUGCCUCUGCAGCUGCAGAAGACUAAUUUCUAUAUUGAUAUUUGGAAAAACUAACAGCUAGAAAACACCAUUCUACUCAUUUUUAAAAGUAAGAUCAUAUUAAAUGACGUUACAUGCAUCAUUUAUGUAUUGCUCGCAGCACCAGCAUCCUCAAAUAUGGUUUUAAUUUUGGUAGAUAUCUUGCUAGGGGGAGCACAUUUCUAAGUUAUCCAGAUAUAGGGCCCUCUUUCCUUCUCUUUCUGUCCACAUGCAACCAGAUGUUUUGUGGAGUUAAAGUUGACAUUUAUUUAAAUGCUACUUGGUGUCUGUUUUUUUCACCUUUAAUUUAGGGUUUUCUAUCUGGGAUGUAAAAGAAUCACUUGGAGGGAUUUUUCAAAAUACCAAUGGCCAGGCCACUAGCCAGUCAAUCAGAAGCAAAAUCUCCUUGGGUGGGACCUAGAAGUCUUUACAGUUUUCCAGCAUUUUAAUGAACAUCCCUGAUUAAGAACCACCGGGUCUUAAGAGUGUGGUAUAUGUAUUUUUCAAGUUCCUAGAGGCUCUCCAAAACAGAAAAAAAAAAAAGAAAUCUGCUUUAUUCUCUGCUUGGUGUUGAUGGAUCAGUCUCUUUAGCCGUUAGUCUGAUCCUGGAAAUUUAUGGUCAUAAUUUGAUGAGCAACGUUGGGAAUGGCUUCUUCUUUUUCUUUUUUCGUUUUGAGACAGAGUCUCACUCUGUCGACCAGGCUGCAGUGUAGUGGCGCGAUCUCCGCUCACUGCAACCUCCACCCCAAUACUUUCAUUUUUAAAUAUUAUUUAUGGAAUCCAGGUUUGCAUAAGAUGGACUGGGUCAAUGGCCAUGCCCUUUAUAAAUCAAUAUUCUUAAGUUCUGCAAAUUCAGUUUCCUAAAGAGCCAAAUCACAUCCUACUCAUCAGCAAGGCAGGUAGACAUCAUCUUCACAAUCACUUCUAAUUUUUGACCAUUGUAAAAAAAAUGAAAUAUGUAAUCACUUUCUUAUUGUAAAAUAAACAAUUUACUUUUGCAGGA